rnacentral:rRNA from 1 species
CUUGUUCUAUGUGAAAGCCUUCGGCUCAACCGAAGAAGUGCAUUGGAAACUGGGAGACUUGAGUGCAGAAGAGGACAGUGGAACUCCAUGUGUAGCGGUGAAAUGCGUAGAUAUAUGGAAGAACACCAGUGGCGAAGGCGGCUGUCUGGUCUGCAACUGACGCUGAGGCUCGAAAGCAUGGGUAGCGAACAGGAUUAGAUACCCUGGUAGUCCAUGCCGUAAACGAUGAUUACUAAGUGUUGGAGGGUUUCCGCCCUUCAGUGCUGCAGCUAACGCAUUAAGUAAUCCGCCUGGGGAGUACGACCGCAAGGUUGAAACUCAAAAGAAUUGACGGGGGCCCGCACAAGCGGUGGAGCAUGUGGUUUAAUUCGAAGCUACGCGAAGAACCUUACCAGGUCUUGACAUCUUCUGACAGUCUAAGAGAUUAGAGGUUCCCUUCGGGGACAGAAUGACAGGUGGUGCAUGGUUGUCGUCAGCUCGUGUCGUGAGAUGUUGGGUUAAGUCCCGCAACGAGCGCAACCCUUAUUACUAGUUGCCAGCAUUAAGUUGGGCACUCUAGUGAGACUGCCGGUGACAAACCGGAGGAAGGUGGGGACGACGUCAAAUCAUCAUGCCCCUUAUGACCCUG